rnacentral:rRNA from 1 species
UACAGAGGGUGCAAGCGUUAAUCGGAAUUACUGGGCGUAAAGCGUGCGUAGGUGGUUUACUAAGUCAGGUGUGAAAUCCCCGGGCUCAACCUGGGAACUGCGCUUGAUACUGGUAAACUAGAGUUUAGUAGAGGGAAGUGGAAUUCCACGUGUAGCGGUGAAAUGCGUAGAUAUGUGGAGGAACACCAGUGGCGAAGGCGGCAUCCUGGACCGAUACUGACGCUGAGGAGCGAAAGCCAGGGGAGCAAACAGG